rnacentral:lncRNA from 1 species
AAAAUCAGUUUAUCAACGGGAGAUGUCCAAGACCGAAUAACUAAGCGAAUUAGUUUGGACUUAUCAGCGAAAUUUCAGUGAUGCUGAAAGCUGUUUCCUGGCUCUGCUCUUUGAAACGGCGGGCAGGAUCGCUGGGUCAGAACCGAGCCUGAUUCGGGCCUUAAGGGACUAUCCUGUCGCCCCAGCGCUGUCAUUUCAGUCACUUCCUCCACUUCCUGUUGACGCCACUUGGCACAUCUGUACAAUAAACACAGCCUUUCCUGCUCCCCGCCAGCCAACCGUCCAGGAGAUGAUAUGGCAUGCUGUGUGCACUUAAUUGUGCUCAAACCAUUCAAGUUUCCCCCAUUUCCCAGGCAGGGAAACAGAUGGAGCAGCAUUCCAAGCAGAUCUCCAGACAGUCUGAAGAUUGGCAGCAGUCCUCCAGUAUCCCACAAUCCAGCAGGGCAGAGCAGGAGUCCUCAGCGCAGCAGGCCAGACCUCCGCCGGCCGCUUCACCACAGCAGCAGAGAGCAUCACACUCUAGACCACAGGCCAAACACUGAGCCACGGCCGAACACCAGGACAGCACCUCGCAGAACAGGCAGGCCA